GAUGAACGCUAGCUACAGGCUUAACACAUGCAAGUCGAGGGGCAGCAUGAACUUAGCUUGCUAAGUUUGAUGGCGACCGGCGCACGGGUGAGUAACACGUAUCCAACCUGCCGAUGACUCGGGGAUAGCCUUUCGAAAGAAAGAUUAAUACCCGAUGGCAUAGUUCUUCCGCAUGGUAGAACUAUUAAAGAAUUUCGGUCAUCGAUGGGGAUGCGUUCCAUUAGGUUGUUGGCGGGGUAACGGCCCACCAAGCCUUCGAUGGAUAGGGGUUCUGAGAGGAAGGUCCCCCACAUUGGAACUGAGACACGGUCCAAACUCCUACGGGAGGCAGCAGUGAGGAAUAUUGGUCAAUGGACGAGAGUCUGAACCAGCCAAGUAGCGUGAAGGAUGACUGCCCUAUGGGUUGUAAACUUCUUUUAUACGGGAAUAAAGUGAGGCAUGUGUGCCUUUUUGUAUGUACCGUAUGAAUAAGGAUCGGCUAACUCCGUGCCAGCAGCCGCGGUAAUACGGAGGAUCCGAGCGUUAUCCGGAUUUAUUGGGUUUAAAGGGAGCGUAGGCGGACGCUUAAGUCAGUUGUGAAAGUUUGCGGCUCAACCGUAAAAUUGCAGUUGAUACUGGGUGUCUUGAGUACAGUAGAGGCAGGCGGAAUUCGUGGUGUAGCGGUGAAAUGCUUAGAUAUCACGAAGAACUCCGAUUGCGAAGGCAGCCUGCUGGACUGUAACUGACGCUGAUGCUCGAAAGUGUGGGUAUCAAACAGGAUUAGAUACCCUGGUAGUCCACACAGUAAACGAUGAAUACUCGCUGUUUGCGAUAUACAGUAAGCGGCCAAGCGAAAGCGUUAAGUAUUCCACCUGGGGAGUACGCCGGCAACGGUGAAACUCAAAGGAAUUGACGGGGGCCCGCACAAGCGGAGGAACAUGUGGUUUAAUUCGAUGAUACGCGAGGAACCUUACCCGGGCUUGAAUUGCAACUGAAUGAUGUGGAGACAUGUCAGCCGCAAGGCAGUUGUGAAGGUGCUGCAUGGUUGUCGUCAGCUCGUGCCGUGAGGUGUCGGCUUAAGUGCCAUAACGAGCGCAACCCUUAUCGAUAGUUACCAUCAGGUGAUGCUGGGGACUCUGUCGAGACUGCCGUCGUAAGAUGUGAGGAAGGUGGGGAUGACGUCAAAUCAGCACGGCCCUUACGUCCGGGGCUACACACGUGUUACAAUGGGGGGUACAGAAGGCAGCUACACGGCGACGUGAUGCUAAUCCCGAAAGCCUCUCUCAGUUCGGAUUGGAGUCUGCAACCCGACUCCAUGAAGCUGGAUUCGCUAGUAAUCGCGCAUCAGCCACGGCGCGGUGAAUACGUUCCCGGGCCU
rnacentral:rRNA from 1 species